CCUACGGGAGGCAGCAGUGAGGAAUAUUGGUCAAUGGCCGGAAGGCUGAACCAGCCAAGUCGCGUGAGGGACGACUGCCCUAUGGGUUGUAAACCUCUUUUAUAAGGGAAGAAUAAAUGCUACGUGUAGCAUGAUGCCUGUACCUUAUGAAUAAGCAUCGGCUAACUCCGUGCCAGCAGCCGCGGUAAUACGGAGGAUGCGAGCGUUAUCCGGAUUUAUUGGGUUUAAAGGGUGCGUAGGCGGUCCGUUAAGUCAGCGGUAAAAUUGCGGGGCUCAACCCCGUCGAGCCGUUGAAACUGGCAGACUUGAGUUGGCGAGAAGUACGCGGAAUGCGCGGUGUAGCGGUGAAAUGCAUAGAUAUCGCGCAGAACUCCGAUUGCGAAGGCAGCGUACCGGCGCCAGACUGACGCUGAGGCACGAAAGCGUGGGGAUCGAACAGGAUUAGAUACCCGAGUAGUC
rnacentral:rRNA from 1 species